GAUGAACGCUGGCGGCGUGCCUAAUACAUGCAAGUCGAGCGAACAGACGAGGAGCUUGCUCCUCUGACGUUAGCGGCGGACGGGUGAGUAACACGUGGAUAACCUACCUAUAAGACUGGGAUAACUUCGGGAAACCGGAGCUAAUACCGGAUAAUAUAUUGAACCGCAUGGUUCAAUAGUGAAAGACGGUUUUGCUGUCACUUAUAGAUGGAUCCGCGCCGCAUUAGCUAGUUGGUAAGGUAACGGCUUACCAAGGCGACGAUGCGUAGCCGACCUGAGAGGGUGAUCGGCCACACUGGAACUGAGGCACGGUCCAGACUCCUACGGGGAGCAGCAGUAGGGAAUCUUCCGCAAUGGGCGAAAGCCUGACGGAGCAACGCCGGGUGAGUGAUGAAGGUCUUCGGAUCGUAAAACUCUGUUAUUAGGGAAGAACAAAUGUGUAAGUAACUAUGCACGUCUUGACGGUACCUAAUCAGAAAGCCACGGCUAACUACGUG
rnacentral:rRNA from 1 species